GAUUAAUUUAUUUAAAAUUAUAAAGUUUUAAAAAAAGUUCGGUUUUUAAACUUAAUCCAAAGCUGGGCUAGCUGGGCUAGCUGUCAUCGAGAUAUUGAAGCUAAGUGGCUAGGCUCUGUCCAUGACUGAAGAAUAUUCAGAGUCUACAUUGUGCCAGAGAUUCGAGGAAGGUCAUUAUGACGGGGUCCUAAUUGGAGACAGAGGCUGCGCAGGUAGACCCUUCUUCAUGACCCCAUACCCAGAACCAGCACCAGGGCCCGUAGCACGAUUCAAUGUGGCUCUUGCAAGGACAAGAGCUCGAAUUGAAAUGACCUUUGGACAACUAAAGGCCUGAUUCAACCGUCUUCGUAGUCUGAGGGUUGCACCAGACAGAGCCUGCGACAAGAAAGGAGAGGGUCCCAGUCUUACAAGCCCAGCCCGAAGAAGACGUGGAUCCGGUGCACCUGGAUCAGCAGAACGGCCGAGAUGCAAGGGAUCGCAUUGCAUACCACUACUUUGGUUAAAGCAUGUAAGAUUUAUUUCCUUUUGUUUUUUGUUAAUCUUUGCCUUGUUAAGAUAACCACAGUUUUCAUAAACAUAGCCAACAGUGAGUAAUAGCCUGUCAAAACAAGAACAAAAUGUUAAAAAAUAAAUCGUUUAUUUGGAAUUUCAUGGAUGGUCCUGUUAAUGGAAAAGCAGACGAUUUAUUUUUAGUACAUUUUUAGUGUUUGUAAAAAGAAAUUAUAAUAAUUAACAGCAGUUCAAAUGAUUCAGCUGACUUCAAUAGAAUUGGUGUAUCAAGACACAUGCAGUGGCAUAUGGUCCUUUGUCUCUAGAGUCACAGGUCGUUCUCUUGUUUCUUGUGAAAAGGGGGGCAGGGGUGAAGAAAUCUCCAGAUGGCAGUGGUGGGAUUCAAACCCAUGCCUCCAGAGAGACUAGAGCCUAAAUUCAGCGCCUUAGACCGCUCGGCCACACUACC